rnacentral:rRNA from 1 species
UACGUAGGGGGCUAGCGUUGUCCGGAAUCAUUGGGCGUAAAGCGCGUGUAGGCGGCCCGGUAAGUCCGCUGUGAAAGUCGGGGGCUCAACCCUCGAAAGCCGGUGGAUACUGUCGGGCUCGAGUGCGGAAGAGGCGAGUGGAAUUCCUGGUGUAGCGGUGAAAUGCGCAGAUAUCAGGAGGAACACCGAUUGCGAAGGCAGCUCGCUGGGACGUUACUGACGCUGAGGCACGAAAGUGUGGGGAUCAAACAGG